rnacentral:rRNA from 1 species
GGACCCGCACAAGUAGUGGAGCAUGUGGUUUAAUUCGAAGAUACGCGCAGAACCUUACCAACACUUGACAUGUUCGUCGCGACUUUAAGAGAUUAAAGUUUUCGGUUCGGCCGGACGAAACACAGGUGCUGCAUGGCUGUCGUCAGCUCGUGUCGUGAGAUGUUGGGUUAAGUCCCGCAACGAGCGCAACCCUCACUUUUAGUUGCCAUCAUUUAGUUGGGCACUCUGAAAGAACUGCCAGUGAUAAGCUGGAGGAAGGUGGGGAUGACGUCAAGUCCUCAUGGCCCUUACGUGUUGGGCUACACACGUGCUACAAUGGCGCGUACAGAGGGUUGCAAACCCCCGCAAGGGG